AGUGACGAUAGCCUAGGAGAUACACCUGUACCCAUGCCGAACACAGCAGUUAAGCCCUAGAACGCCGGAAGUAGUUGGGGGUUGCCCCCUGUGAGAUAUGGUAGUCGCUUAGCGAAGGGAGUUUAGCUCAGCUGGGAGAGCA
rnacentral:rRNA from 3 species